AUGCCAGGUCACUGGAUCCGGGAUUGCCACAGGAGGAAAGCCGACGAGGCAGCCGCGGCAACGACAAACCUCGUCCAGGCUGACAUGGACGGCGGGCCGACAAUGAUGCUGGCAAGAGUCGAGCCCGUGCAGGAGAGCACAGCGUCUCUCGCGACCACGACUCCGACAACCACCCAUUCUGUGGAGGAGGCACGGAGCCCGUCCAUGGGAACCAUCACUCCAGUGACAGGCCACACCUCGACAACGACGUUUUCGGAGCUUGUCGACUGGGAGGCGAUGAAGGCUCGGGUGUGGGGGAGCCACACCCCGACGAGGGCGUCCCUGAAUUCGGGACCCGAUGAGAUCGCGCAGGUUGGCGCGGCAACGACGCAUAUGGCGGACCAUGCUCCGACCAUGAUGCUGGCGACCAUCGACUCCGUGCAGGAGCGCACGGAGUCUCAGGUCAGCCACGCCCCGACAACAAAGUGUUCGGGGUCCAUCGUGUUGACGGGAGAUGGCUCCCUGACAACGGCAUGUGUGUGCGGCUACGUCUUCCUCAACGAGGAGAGAGCCGUGACCACACCCAUGCUUGCAGGCGGCAAGCAAAGUGAGGGUUGGUUCCUCGACACCGGCGCCACGAACCACAUGACUGGUUCGAUCGACGCAUUCGCGGAGCUGGACCGCUCAAUCACCGGGAAGGUGCGGUUCGCGGACGGAUCCAUGGUGGAGAUCCACGGGCGCGGGACCGUCGUCUUCGCCGACAAAGGGGGUGAUCACAGGGCGUUCACGGAUGUCUACUUCAUCCCGGCGCUCACGAGCAGCAUCGUGAGUGUCGGACAGCUCGACGAGGGCUGGUUUGACAUCGGCAUCCGGCGCGGUGUUCUCACCGUGCGCGGCUAG
rnacentral:rRNA from 1 species